UCAGGGCAUUGGAGAAAAGGAGGAAACAAGUAGAGCACAGCAGGUUACAGGCUAAAGGCAGAACUGAAGUUCACACUUGCAUGUGGGAGGGGAUAUAAUGUUCUUCAGGAGACAGCUGAUCACCACGCAGAAGUGGACACCAACUUCCCAAGAGACCAGAUAUUCUUCCUAUAAAAUGACCCUAACUGCAGACAGGACUCCUCCUAUUCUUGUUAACGCUGCAGGGAGCCAGGUCCUGCAGGCAGUGGGAGCCAGGGCUGCUCCUGUUACACCAGGAAGCCUUGCCAGCUGUGUGCCUCUGACCGACCAUCCCUGCGAGAGGA
rnacentral:lncRNA from 1 species